AUGUCUGACAGCCCCCAGGAGCAGCCGGGUGCUGGGGUCUUAGGACGUAUUGGGAGCUGGUUGUCGCCAUGGAGGGCAAAGAGCCCGACAAGUCCCACUGAAAACGUCUCUCCGACUAGUGAGCAGGCUCUGAAGUUAGAGCUAGAAGGGGAGAGUGAAGAGACUGUGAGCUCACAGGGAAAGGCACAACAAAGAGAGGGGGAACAAAGGGAACUACACUCCAAUCCGGAUCCACCAGUCCUCCACAGAGUGGUUUUUGCCAGAGAAGGGGAGGACGCCACGCAGCCAGUCAUUGUGGUCAACGCCAAGACAGCUGAAGCAGCACCAAGAGGGGCGGAGUCUGUGCAAAUCAGGAAGAAGAGGGUAGGGCAGGGCAAGGAGAGCGAGGAGAGCAGCAGCAGUCAUUCAGUGAGUGGGAAUCCUGGAAAAAAGGCAGGUCAUGUGACAAAACUCUCACCUGCCCACAUUCAGCCUCAGGCAUUGAGUGAAACACAGGCACAGGGAGGCAGGAAGCUUCAGGUGUACCUGGAAGAAACCAGCUUGGUUCAAUGUGGCAUAGACAGCUGUGCUGGACAGGAAGUUGUCCGCACGAAAUUACCCAAAAGCGUGAAGGUUGCCGGUGCCACAAAACCGUCACUGAGCUCUAAUUCACAGGAGGUAUCGGUUACAAAAAGAGGGCAGAGCAAGAGGACAAAUGCGAGGCCCACGCCUGGGACAGGCAGGGCUUUGGUAGGAGGGUCACUGAAACCACACAAAGACUCACAGUUUGAGCCUCAGAAAGAGCAAACAGAAGCAGACACGAUGGGUCGUAAGAACGCAGCCAGGAGGAAACUGAGAAAAAACUCUGCCGGAGACAGAGGACACAGCCCCCACGAGAACAGAUCAGAGAGUGGUGAAACUGUCCCAGAGGGACCAGCACCAGGUAAACAAGCGACCAGUCCUGGAGACAAAACUGCAAACUCCCUCCAGGACUCCUCUGCAAGCUCCUCCCCCCAGAACAACCCCUCCUCCAAAACCUCACUUGAACUAGGGGAGGGUGGUACUUCCUGUCCCGACACGUCCAAGGAGCACGACAACUUCCAGGACACAAACUCAGUCAGCGAAGGAUCUGCGCUGUGCGCAACUGAUGGGUCCGGAGAAAUGGAGGACGAAGACAGUCUUUACAAGGUGGAGAGGAAGACAGAGACGUCGGCGUCCAAACGCAGGAGUAUGAAGGUUUCACAAAGCGAGGUGAAAUUUUUCACAAAGAAUGUGCGUCUGAAUUCCAUACAAAGUCCAGGAGAUAAUCAGGCCACCAAGUCAUUGUUGAAGACAGAUGAAGCGAAGGAGAAGCCCGGACCAGAGGCUAGCACAAGGCACCACGACUUGAAGAAAACAAGUGAAGAUUUUAAACCAGUUCCUGGCCGGAUUGCAGAUAAGAUCAGCAUGUUUGAGCGUCCAGCAGGGGGGGUUGAUAAAAGGUCUUUUCAAACCCCGAGGAGCGCCGAUGCCUCUCCAGUGAGGAAGGCCCACGCGAGGCUGAAAGCCAGUUUCGAGCAGUCGGACCAGAGUUCCAGACCUGUUGACCGUCAGCUUAAGGCAAGGUCUAGUUCUGCAUCGCCCUGCAGGGACAGGCUGGAGACCAUCAAGGAGCGAGCGGGGACCUUCAUGGCAGCCCUGCCGCCACAGCCAGCAGUCACAGGAACGUCUGCACAAACCCCCCCACAGGUGGCAUCUGGUGCCAUAAAGUCACAUGGACUAGACAAACUGGAUGUUAAAGAACAGACACGAACAAACACAAUGUCAAAGAUAGCGUUGAAACCAGAUGGACUGGAUGCUGUUCCCCCAGAGGGGGAAAUUACCAUUCCUGUGGAGCAACCAGCAAGGGUAGAUAAUACCGUAGCUGUCCAAACAGUGGACCAGAGUUCGAAAAAGGAAGCUGUUGUUGCAGCUAAAGGGCCGGAUGAUCCUGAAGAAAUGAUCAAUAACAUUAGCCCAGAGUCCAAAGGUCCGAGCAGAGCAACCUCCCGCUCUAAACGAAGGAAAAGCAAAGAACAUACAACUUCCACCACACCUAAUGGUGAAACCACCGCCAUAAAUCAAGACCAAGAUACAGCGUUUGUCUUCCAUCCUCCAGAGGAUGGACAAGGAAGUUCAUUAGAUGGACAGUCCCACAAAAACAUCAAGGUACCUGUAAAACAAGAGGAGCAUUCCUCAGUCAGAAAGGAAAACUCUAGCAGACAGGAACUUCAACCAUCUGUCAACAAAGGUGAACCUGAUACCGCUGCUUGGAGUGAUGGCACAAAGAGCUGUGUUGACAAGGAGGCUGGAGGGAACAGGGUUCUUGUCACGCAGGAAGACGGAGAGGCCUCCAAGGGCAGCAGAGAACCUCCAGCCCCCCCCUCCUCUUUGCCGCUCAUUAAAAGGAAGCAGGAGCCACCAGUUCAUUCCAGAUGUGAAAAAGUUCCCUCAGAAGAAAAACAUAAAGGGGAAAUAAUGGAAACGACUAAAAAUGAUGUAGGGAACACACAGGAGCGUCACAAAAACCCGAAGCGGAUUUGUCACUCUAAGAAAGAGGACAAAUCAGACUCGAGCAAUCAAGCCAAUCAGACUGGAACGACACAGAAGGAGACAGUGGAGAAGCUGUCACAGUCACUUUCAGAGGAGGGGAAGAGCUCGUCAGAGAGACGAGGCGGCGCCGAGGGCGGCGAUGGCAAAAAUGCCGGCGAGUCGGAUGAAAGAGGAACAAAAUCUGACCAAAUAGCACUGACUGCCAAAUCCCCUGGACGUGCAAAAUCGAUGCUGCCUGCACAGCAUGACGGAGAGACAGAGAUGGAAAAUUCACGUGGAGGUAAAGCUGGGGGGCGGAAUAAUGAGCCCGUAGGUGGGACCAAAGGUGAUAGAAAGCUCUUAAAGGCAGAGGAACGUGCAACGAGAGAAGGAACUGGAACAGCUCCAGAGUCUGCGGGGAAAGCAGCAGAAACAGAGACGGAUUCUGCACAUGUGGAACAAAUGGAUAAUUCACCCGGUGACUCACGCCCACAUGGAGCUAAUGAUGCCGAGUUAUCCCCCGAAAAGCCUGCUGCCGGGGCAACCUCGGCCGUGGAGAAAGAGACUGUUGAAGUCAAUCACGUCGCUCCGCCGCUGAUAACGGCUCCAGCUGACGGUGCGGCGGAGGGGGACUCAUCUGUUGAAGAGCCUGCUCUUAUUUCUGCCCCCGAGUCUGUGAGCAACGGGGGAGCUGGCCGUGCUGAUGGGGAAAUCACUUCAGCCGUCGAAUCGGCGCCCUCAGACAGCAACAUGCCUGGGGAGGGGGCGAUUGUUCCUCCGGGACAGCCCAGAAACGCAGAGGGGACAAAAGGGCGACAUCAUCGCCACGCCACCCAAAGGUGUAGGGAGCAUGGAGCCGCAGCCGGCUGA
ensembl:lncRNA